CCUGAUAGCUCAGUUGGUAAAGAAUCUGCCUACAAUGCAGGAGACCCUGGUUUGAUUCCUGGGUCAGGA
rfam:Ovis aries breed Texel chromosome 7, whole genome shotgun sequence.